GACGAACGCUGGCGGCGUGCUUAACACAUGCAAGUCGAGCGGUAAGGCUCCUUCGGGAGUACACGAGCGGCGAACGGGUGAGUAACACGUGAGCAAUCUGCCCUUCACUUCGGGAUAACUCCGGGAAACCGGUGCUAAUACCGAAUACGACCACUUCAGGCAUCUGAUGGUGGUGGAAAGUUCCGGCGGUGAAGGAUGAGCUCGCGGCCUAUCAGCUUGUUGGUGAGGAAUGGCCCACCAAGGCAACGACGGGUAGCCGGCCUGAGAGGGUGACCGGCCACACUGGGACUGAGACACGGCCCAGACUCCUACGGGAGGCAGCAGUGGGGAAUCUUGCGCAAUGGGCGAAAGCCUGACGCAGCGACGCCGCGUGAGGGAUGACGGCCUCGG
rnacentral:rRNA from 1 species